CCUUAAGUCUGAUGUGAAAGCCCACGGCUCAACCGUGGAGGGUCAUUGGAAACUGGGGGACUUGAGUGCAGAAAGAAGGAAAAGUGGAAUUCCACGUGUAGCGGUGAAAUGCGUAGAGAUGUGGAGGAACACCAGUGGCGAAGGCGACUUUCUGGUCUGUAACUGACGCUGAGGCGCGAAAGCGUGGGGAGCAAACAGGAUUAGAUACCCUGGUAGUCCACGCCGUAAACGAUGAGUGCUAAGUGUUAGGGGGUUUCCGCCCCUUAGUGCUGCAGCUAACGCAUUAAGCACUCCGCCUGGGGAGUACGGCCGCAAGGCUGAACUCAAGGAAUUGACGGACC
rnacentral:rRNA from 1 species